GCCAGGCAUGGUGAUGCAUACCUGUAGUCCCAGCUACCCAGGAGGCUGAGGUGGAAGGAUCACUUGAGCCCAGGAGUUUAAGGAUGCAGUGAGCUAUGACUGUGCCUGAGAAUAGCCACUGCACUCCAGCCUGGGCAACAUACCAAUACCCUGUCUCUA
rnacentral:sRNA from 1 species